rnacentral:lncRNA from 1 species
CCUCUUGAGGUAACUGAGAAUUUUUAUUGUUUUUGUCUCACCAUUUUUUUACGGGAGUUUUUCAGUUUUUCUCCCACCAUAUUCUUGUAUUAAAUUAAUUAAAUUUAUUGAGUUGAACUACAAAUUGAAAAUUAACUUAAUUAAAUAUUGGAUUGAAGUCCAUAAAUAAAGUUGAGUGAAUCUAAAAUAACAAAACAUAAACAAUAAAUGAUAAAAUUACACUAAAGAAAGGGUUGGACUCAAAUAAAAUAUCAUAAAUAAAUGGAAACAACAC